rnacentral:tmRNA from 1 species
AGCAGAGCGGACCCGGGGGCGGUACCCGGCGCCUCCACCAUUUUAGCCCGAAACGACGGCCAUCACGGCCAGCAGCAGAAUUUGGGCUAAAAGAUUGGGGGCGAAAUAGGAUCGACGCAUGUGGUAAAGGCAGUAUUUUUGCUCGGUAUGGUACCCGCCGUUAUCGGGCCAUGUAGUAGUUGCAAAUGACAACACUGCUCCGGUAGCAAUCGCAGCCUAAAGGCAGCGGGAGUAACCGAUCUUAAGUCCAGAUCGAUUGAGCUCGGUCUGGCGGGGUUUGGGGCGCACCUGGCAACAGAAGCGUUCCGCU